AUUGAACGCUGGCGGCAUGCCUUACACAUGCAAGUCGAACGGCAGCACGGGUGCUUGCACCUGGUGGCGAGUGGCGAACGGGUGAGUAAUACAUCGGAACAUGUCCUGUAGUGGGGGAUAGCCCGUCGAAAGCCGGAUUAAUACCGCAUACGAACUACGUAUGAAAGCGGGGGACCUUCGGGCCUCGCGCUAUAGGGUUGGCCGAUGGCUGAUUAGCUAGUUGGUGGGGUAAAGGCCUACCAAGGCGACGAUCAGUAGCUGGUCUGAGAGGACGACCAGCCACACUGGAACUGAGACACGGCCCAGACUCCUACGGGAGGCAGCAGUGGGGAAUUUUGGACAAUGGGCGAAAGCCUGAUCCAGCAAUGCCGCGUGUGUGAAGAAGGCCUUCGGGUUGUAAAGCACUUUUGUCCGGAAAGAAAUCCUUGGCCCUAAUACGGUCGGGGGAUGACGGUACCGGAAGAAUAAGCACCGGCUAACUACGUG
rnacentral:rRNA from 1 species